GACGAACGCUGGCGGCGUGCUUAACACAUGCAAGUCGAACGGAAAGGCCCUGCUUUUGUGGGGUGCUCGAGUGGCGAACGGGUGAGUAACACGUGAGUAACCUGCCCUUGACUUUGGGAUAACUUCAGGAAACUGGGGCUAAUACCGGAUAGGAGCUCCUGUUGCAUGGUGGGGGUUGGAAAGUUUCGGCGGUCGGGGAUGGACUCGCGGCUUAUCAGCUUGUUGGUGGGGUAGUGGCUUACCCAGGCUUUGACGGGUAGCCGGCAUGGGAGCGUGACCGGCCACAUUGGGACUGAGAUACGGCCCAGACUCCUACGUGAGGCAGCGGGGGGGAAUAUGGCACAGUGGGCGGAAGUCUGAGGCAGCAGCGCCGCGUGCGGGAAGACGGCCUGCGGGUUGUAAACCGCUUUCGCCUGUGACGAAGCGUGAGUGACGGUAAUGGGUGAAGAAGCACCGGCUAACUACGUG
rnacentral:rRNA from 1 species